CUACUUACCUGGCAGGGAUGGUGCCAUGAUCAUGGAGGUGCUUUUCCCAGGAUGAGGUUCAUCCAUUGCACUUUGGGUGUGCUAACUCAUGUGAUUUCCCCAAAUGCAGGAAACAUGACUGCAUAAUCUGGUGUAUUGGGGUAAAAUAAAUAAAUUUUAAAAAUUCUGUUUGCAUCUUA
rnacentral:snRNA from 1 species